AGUGAACGCUGGCGGUAGGCCUAACACAUGCAAGUCGAACGGCAGCACAGUAAGAGCUUGCUCUUACGGGUGGCGAGUGGCGGACGGGUGAGGAAUACAUCGGAAUCUACUUUUUCGUGGGGGAUAACGUAGGGAAACUUACGCUAAUACCGCAUACGACCUACGGGUGAAAGCAGGGGAUCUUCGGACCUUGCGCGAUUGAAUGAGCCGAUGUCGGAUUAGCUAGUUGGCGGGGUAAAGGCCCACCAAGGCGACGAUCCGUAGCUGGUCUGAGAGGAUGAUCAGCCACACUGGAACUGAGACACGGUCCAGACUCCUACGGGAGGCAGCAGUGGGGAAUAUUGGACAAUGGGCGCAAGCCUGCUCCAGCCAUACCGCGUGGGUGAAGAAGGCCUUCGGGUUGUAAAGCCCUUUUGUUGGGAAAGAAAAGCAGCAGGUUAAUACCCCGCUGUUCUGACGGUACCCAAAGGAUAAGCACCGGCUAACUUCGUG
rnacentral:rRNA from 1 species